rnacentral:sRNA from 1 species
AGCAAAACUAAAUCUUAUGGGCUUAUG